UCUCUGCCUUUGAGCCCCUGCCACGCCUGCAUGUGGGGCCAGGGAUUAAGGGGCAGGGCCAGAGUUUGCACAUAUCUGGGGCCUCUGGGCCCUAUGGGGCAAAUUUAACUC
rnacentral:snoRNA from 1 species